AUUGAACGCUGGCGGCAUGCUUUACACAUGCAAGUCGAACGGUAACAGGCCGCAAGGUGCUGACGAGUGGCGAACGGGUGAGUAAUGCAUCGGAACGUGCCCAGUCGUGGGGGAUAACUGCUCGAAAGAGCAGCUAAUACCGCAUACGAUCUAUGGAUGAAAGCGGGGGACCGUAAGGCCUCGCGCGAUUGGAGCGGCCGAUGUCAGAGUAGGUAGUUGGUGGGGUAAAGGCUCACCAAGCCAACGAUCUGUAGCUGGUCUGAGAGGACGACCAGCCACACUGGGACUGAGACACGGCCCAGGCUCCUACGGGAGGCAGCAGUGGGGAAUUUUGGACAAUGGGGGCAACCCUGAUCCAGCAAUGCCGCGUGCAGGAAGAAGGCCUUCGGGUUGUAAACUGCUUUUGUACGGAACGAAACGGUCUGGGUUAAUACCCUGGGCUAAUGACGGUACCGUAAGAAUAAGCACCGGCUAACUACGUGCCAGCAGCCGCGGUAAAAC
rnacentral:rRNA from 1 species